rnacentral:misc_RNA from 1 species
GAUGAAGAACGUAGCGAAAUGCGAUAAGUAAUGUGAAUUGCAGAUUUCAGUGAAUCAUCGAAUCUUUGAACGCACCUUGCGCCUUGUGGUAUUCCACAAGGCAUGCCCGUUUGAGUAUCAUUAAAUCAUCAACUCUAAAACCUUUGUGGUUUUUUUAGAGCUUGGUCUUGAGGGUUUUGCAGGCUUUUUUUUUCGAGUCUGCUCCCUUUAAAUGCAUUAGCGAGACUUCCCUAUGCUGAACCGUCUCUUUGACGUGAUAAUUAUCUGCGUCGAAUUUUUGUUCUCGUUGGGCUUGCUUCUAAUCGUCUGUUAAAGACAAAACGGAUUUGGGUGCAUAUAUGCGCCUUUUUCCAAAACCUUUUUUGAUCUCAAAUCGGGUAGGACUACCCGCUGAACUUAAGCAUAUCAAUAAGCGGAGGA